rfam:Punica granatum cultivar Dabenzi scaffold34, whole genome shotgun sequence.
GGGGAUCGGUGAUGUUAUCGAUCUCUGCUUUAUCUAUUUGAAGCUUCCUUCCGAUGAAUGAAGUGAAUUGAAGAUGUCCUAACUAAUACUGAGAUCCUCC